CCCGCUGAACUUAAGCAUAUCAAUAAGCGGAGGAAAAGAAACUAACAAGGAUUCCCCUAGUAACUGCGAGUGAAGCGGGAAAAGCUCAAAUUUAAAAUCUGGCGGUCCUUGUGGCCGUCCGAGUUGUAAUUUAGAGAAGCAUUAUCCGCGCCGGACCGUACACAAGUCUCUUGGAAUAGAGCGUCAUAGAGGGUGAGAAUCCCGUCUUUGGUACGGACUCCCGGGGCAUUGUGAUGUGCUCUCGAAGAGUCGAGUUGUUUGGGAAUGCAGCUCAAAAUGGGUGGUAAAUUCCAUCUAAAGCUAAAUAUUGGGGAGAGACCGAUAGCGAACAAGUACCGUGAGGGAAAGAUGAAAAGAACUUUGGAAAGAGAGUUAAACAGUACGUGAAAUUGCUGAAAGGGAAACGCUUGAAGUCAGUCGCGAUGUGCAGGACUCAGCCAUGCUUUUGUGUGGUGUACUUCCUGUUCAUUGGGUCAACAUCAGUUUUGGUCAGUGGAAAAAGGUUCAGGGAAUGUGGCUCUUUCGGGAGUGUUAUAGCCUUGGAUCAUAUACAUUGACUGGGACUGAGGAACUCAGCACGCCGCAAGGCCGGGUUUUUAACCACGUUCGUGCUUUAGGAUGUUGGCAUAAUGGCUUUAAUCGACCCGUCUUGAAACACGG
rnacentral:rRNA from 1 species